rnacentral:rRNA from 1 species
UACGGAGGGUGCAAGCGUUGUCCGGAAUCAUUGGGCGUAAAGAGUUCGUAGGUGGCAUAUUAAGUCUGGUGUUAAAGGCAGAAGCUCAACUUCUGUAGGGCACUGGAUACUGGUAAGCUUGAAUGUGGUAGAGGUAAAGGGAAUUCCUGGUGUAGCGGUGAAAUGCGUAGAUAUCAGGAGGAACAUCGGUGGCGAAAGCGCUUUACUGGGCCAUGAUUGACACUGAGGAACGAAAGCCGGGGUAGCAAAUGGG